AGGCUGCAAAGUGCUCUGAGAGUUUAGAAGCAAGUGCUUUGGGAUCACCAAGGAGCGGGCGAUCAACUGAAGGUCUGCAGGGCGGGUCAAUUAGGGUUCGCAGCAUUCUGGUAACAGCUCCCUCUUCACUCCCCUCGGACGUCUCCUGCUCCCCUGGCCCCUCAGAGGCGGUUAAAGGUGUCCUCAGCACUCACCCAAGAGCAUUCUCUGCCUUUGGAGGCACCGCGGAGCGCAGAACGAGGAGCAAAUGAAACCCAGCCAGAGUGACAGAGGG